CCUACGGGUGGCUGCAGUGAGGAAUAUUGGUCAAUGGACGCAAGUCUGAACCAGCCAUGUCGCGUGCAGGAUGACGGCCCUAUGGGUUGUAAAGCACUUUCGCCAGAGAUGAUAAUGACAGUAUCUGGUAAAGAAACCCCGGCUAACUCCGUGCCAGCAGCCGCGGUAAUACGGAGGGGGUUAGCGUUGUUCGGAAUUACUGGGCGUAAAGCGCACGUAGGCGGAUUAAAAAGUUGGGGGUGAAAUCCCGGGGCUCAACCCCGGAACUGCCUCCAAAACUAGUAGUCUAGAGUUCGAGAGAGGUGAGUGGAAUUCCAAGUGUAGAGGUGAAAUUCGUAGAUAUUUGGAGGAACACCAGUGGCGAAGGCGGCUCACUGGCUCGAUACUGACGCUGAGGUGCGAAAGCGUGGGGAGCGAACAGGAUUAGAUACCCCAGUAGU
rnacentral:rRNA from 1 species